AGGCGAAACGCCCCUGGGCGUCUCUGCGGCGUGGUGGCCGUAGACUGAUGAUGCCAGCCAGUA
rnacentral:hammerhead_ribozyme from 2 species